UCCCCCGCAUGGUGGGUGUUGGAAAAGAUUUAUCGUUUUUGAUGGACUCGCGGCCUAUCAGCUUGUUGGUGAGGUAAUGGCUCACCAAGGCGACGACGGGUAGCCGGCCUGAGAGGGUGACCGGCCACACUGGGACUGAGACACGGCCCAGACUCCUACGGGAGGCAGCAGUGGGGAAUAUUGCACAAUGGGCGCAAGCCUGAUGCAGCGACGCCGCGUGAGGGAUGACGGCCUUCGGGUUGUAAACCUCUUUCAGUAGGGAAGAAGCGAAAGUGACGGUACCUGCAGAAGAAGCACCGGCUAACUACGUGCCAGCAGCCGCGGUAAUACGUAGGGUGCGAGCGUUAUCCGGAAUUAUUGGGCGUAAAGAGCUCGUAGGCGGUUUGUCGCGUCUGUCGUGAAAGUCCGGGGCUUAACCCCGGAUCUGCGGUGGGUACGGGCAGACUAGAGUGCAGUAGGGGAGACUGGAAUUCCUGGUGUAGCGGUGGAAUGCGCAGAUAUCAGGAGGAACACCGAUGGCGAAGGCAGGUCUCUGGGCUGUAACUGACGCUGAGGAGCGAAAGCAUGGGGAGCGAACAGGAUUAGAUACCCUGGUAGUCCAUGCCGUAAACGUUGGGCACUAGGUGUGGGGACC
rnacentral:rRNA from 1 species